UACGUAGGGACCAAGCGUUGUUCGGAUUUACUGGGCGUAAAGGGCGCGUAGGCGGCUUAACAAGUCACUUGUGAAAUCUCCGGGCUUAACUCGGAACGGCCAAGUGAAACUGUCAAGCUAGAGUGCAGAAGGGGCAAUCGGAAUUCUUGGUGUAGCGGUGAAAUGCGUAGAUAUCAAGAGGAACACCGGUGGCGAAGGCGGGUCUCUGGGCCGAUACUGACGCUGAGGAGCGAAAGCGUGGGGAGCAAACAGG
rnacentral:rRNA from 1 species